UCCUACGGGGCGCAGCAGUGAGGAAUAUUGGUCAAUGGACUUACGCCUGAACCAGCCAAGUCGCGUGAGGGAAGAAUGCCCUACGGGUCGCAAACCUCUUUUGACAGGGAGCAACGCCGCUGACGUGUCGCCGGACGGAGAGUACCCGUAGAACAAGCAUCGGCUAACUCCGUGCCAGCAGCCGCGGUAAUACGGAGGAUGCGAGCGUUAUCCGGAUUUAUUGGGUUUAAAGGGUGCGCAGGCGGCACGGCAAGCCGGCGGUCAAAUCGCGGGGCUCAACCCCGCCCAGCCGUCGGAACUGCCGG
rnacentral:rRNA from 1 species